rnacentral:snRNA from 10 species
GGAUGUGAGGGCGAUCUAGCUGUAACAUCUGUCACCCUGUUGAUCGCCAGGGUUGAUCUGGCUGAUCUAGCUGGCUAGGCGGGUGUCCCCUUCCCCCCUCACCACUCCAUGUUCAUCCCUCCCAAAGCUGCAUGCUUCAAGAGGAUGACUGUCUCUGAUAGAGGAGGACCAGUCUUCGGUCAAGGGUAUAUCUCCAAACCUCCAAACAAGUUCUCAAAACAGAGGAUUCAUGUAAAGUACUUAACCCAGUACCCACCAUACAGUAUAUGAUAAACAAAUAUUAAAUCCUAU